AGACGCUGGAGGCUUCGAGAGACAGUGAUAGAGAGAGAGAGAGAGAGAGAGAGAGAGACGGUGAUCGACACACAGCAACUCUGAGAGCCAAGAAACAAUCGAGGGUUGGGUUUGUUUUGGAAGAUGUUCCGUUUCACCUGUACAGGUUAGUUUGCACCAAGACUUGGAACCCACCGCUUCCUCUUCUCUUAGUUUGAGUUUCUCCCGCAUCAUUCAACAGCAAAACCUCUCAAAUCUUUGUCCAGCCAUCGAUGUCAACCCCUGAAAGAUUAUGUUCGGGCUGUUCAAUAUAUUAAGGCCACCAUAGCUGAGAGAGCAAAUGCCUUCAGGCGACAGUGUUGCUAGCUGAAACUGCUGUUAGGCUGGUGUAUUUGUAUGUGAACAACAUAUAAGUAGUAGCUACUGUCAAUCUGUAGUUUAAGUAAAACAAAAUUGGUUCAGAAAAAAAGAAUUGCAAAAUAGUGCAGAUGAUAACCAUUUCAUUUAACUGAAGUAGGACUUGCCUACAUUGGUAACCAAACCUCAAUUUGGAGACACUGCUUACCAAGAAAGUCUCUGGGUUUACUUCCUAUACAAUAAUAUCUUAAUUUAAGGCAAGAUCUGAAAAGACCCAAGAUUUUACGAGAAAAAGAUGAGUGAGUGUGAAAAUGGAGUACCGGAAGCUCAAGGAUCAGGAUGAAAAUGGAAAUUCAGCUGCUGACGACAUAAAAAAUUUACGGGGAAAUCCGCUUUCUAUUGAGCCAACUAUGAGAGAGGGGCCAAUAGACCGAAAAUGGAAGCACAAGUAUGAUUGAAGUAGAGGAGCUUCAGCCAUAUUCACAUGGAUAUACAGAGCUAAACUUUUUCUGAAGGAUGAGGGAACAAUGAUGACCCACAUUGACACCAUAUUCAAAUGGGAUCUGACAAAUGGAACCCAUUGUCCUUACCAAAUUCGCGGCAAUAUCAAAAUACCAGCAAGCUUAAACAAUAUUGGUUUUAGUCAGCAACUUAUCUAAACUAAAAAAAGUAACGUGAGUUGUAAUAUAUAAGACCUCUGCUUAAUUAAGAUGGCAGAAAAGAAUGCAGCAGAGGAUUUUAAUCGAGGAAGCUGAGAAUAAGCAGAAGGAUCGGACGACAUGUGGACAUCAGUGAACCACCAAAGAAAUAAGCUUUUCCAGAGAUGGAUGUCCAAGUAAACCGGACUAUACCACAGCUUAUCGAAAAUGCUUAGAAAAUUUAUUACUAUUUUGCUUUUCUUGAUUCUUCUGUUAUAUCGAAUGCAAAAACCUUGGAAUUUAACUCCAUCAUAGGGAUAGAAUUUGUACAGAUGUAAUGGUUCCUUGCUCAUUAGAUUGAAAUUAUGUGCGAUAUUAUUUAUGUGUUUUCUAGGACGUACUCAGAGAACCCUGGAAUACUGGAAUUGCUCCUAAGGUAUGCUAUUGAUUUAUUUUGAGAGGUGAGAGGGAAUCUAGAAGACAAUUAUCUCAGUUCUUGAUAGUGCUCAUGGCCUCUGUAAGUGUGGCUCCUUCAUCUGGAUUAGGAGACGGCAGUGGAAAUACGGUUGCCCAGUGAGAUGAAUAACAUGAAAAUUAGGGAUGACAUACAAGUUAUGACUUAUGGAGUUGGUCUCUGGUCUUGGUGGCUGAAAUUUUUUUUGUUACAAUGUAGGCAUUGAGGAGUUGACCUGGCUUAUAUGCUCAUUGGUAUUGAAAAGAGACACCUACCUGAAGCAUAGCCGGAAGCAAAAUUGAGCUGUGAAAAUCUUAAUCAAAGAUUAUGCAGUGAACCUUGAAUGGCAGGAGACGUGAUGAUUUAGAAUGUUGAUGAGGAAAUACUGUAAUCAUGGGAGAUUCUUCUGCAGCAUUCAUACACACGUAACUGUUGAUGGCAAAGCUUCUAUCCCAAAAUUCCAUUUUUGCAAUAUGUAAAUAUACAAAUCUACUUAAAGUUCAGCUUUUGUAAUAUGUAAAGUUAUGACAUUCACCAAUAAACGUUUCUUAGUUUAUGGUUCUGAUUGUUGUACAUACAAAAAAUUGAGGAAGAAAAAAAAAGUGCAAACCCGCAGCAUCACGCGGGGCAUAUAUCUAGUGGAAUCUAAGAGACCUUUCUUUUUCUGA